UGCAAGUAGGUCCAACUGGACACGUUGGCUUAGCAUGUUCUUAUCCUAAAGUAGGGAAAACGGCGACUAACGUGACAGAAGGACAAAAACAGGACUUUUAGUUUUUUUUGUCUCUCAUUUCUGGCCGCGAUUUUCUGUGCUUUCGCCUUGGAUCACUGUUACUGCUUUAGUUCUAUGCACAGAAACCUUUAUGAAGUCAAAAUUGCGUUUUUUGUGAACACUAUAAUCCGUGUUCUUUGCUGAUAAUCUGUAAAUAAUUUAUUAUUUCUUUUUUCACAGCACUGCCGCACGCAAAGUAUGACCUUCUGUUUGGAGGAUCCAACUGUGCCAUUGUUAAUGUGACCUAUAUUGACGAGUCUGUCGGUACUGUAUCUAAAAAAAGUGGAGACAGCCCAAACAACUGCGUUUUCUUUGUGAAGGACGAGGAGGUUAACAACCCAGAUAGCUGCUGCAGCACAUACUAUAAUGAAAAUUGUAAUAGUGAACAGCAACAAGAGACAUACAAGCCAAAUGAAUGCAAGAACGCCUGAUAAAUAUAUCCACACAGCGUUCCAUAUUUCCCCGAAUAUACAGUAGUAAUAUAAGUAGAGUUUUGAUGUAUCUACCGAACUCUUUAAAACAUGCAAUGUAAUAAUGUUCCAUUUUUUCCUUUGCAAAAAUGGUUUCAAUAAAAGUUGCGCAAGCAAAAAUGUUGGUUA